ACUCUGAUGCAGCACGCCGCGUGGAGGAUGACAGCAUUUCGGUGUGUAAACUCCUUUUAUUAGGGAAGAUAAUGACGGUACCUCUUGAAUAAGCACCGGCUAACUCCGUGCCAGCAGCCGCGGUAAUC
rnacentral:rRNA from 1 species